GACGAACGCUGGCGGCGUGCUUAACACAUGCAAGUCGAACGGAAAGGCCCUGCUUCUGUGGGGUGUUCGAGUGGCGAACGGGUGAGUAAGACGAGAGUAACCUGACCUUGACUCUGGGAUAACUUCAGGAAACUGGGGCUAAUGCCUGUUAGCAGCUCCUGCUGCAUGGUGGGGGUUGUGAAGUUUCGGCGGAUGGGGAUGGACUCGCGGCUUAUCAGCGUGGUGGUGGGGUUGUGGCUUACCAAGGCUUUGACGGGUAGCCGGCCUGAGAGGGUGACCGGCCACAUUGGGACUGAGAGACGGCGCAGACGCCGACGGGAGGCAGCAGUGGGGAAUAUGGCACAAUGGGCGGAAGCCUGAGGCAGCAACGCCGCGUGCGGGAUGACGGCCUUCGGGUUGUAAACCGCUGUCGCCUGUGACGAAGCGUGAGUGACGGUAAUGGGUAAAGAAGCACCGGCUAACUACGUG
rnacentral:rRNA from 1 species